UGUUUGAAACUUGGGC
rnacentral:miRNA from 1 species